GGGUUAAACCAAAGAAACGACAACAAGAAAGUCGGCACUCAUGGUGGUACACAGUCAUCUAGCUGAACGAUCAAACGACGUUGAACUCUCAACAUGGCAACCAUCGACGCCCUCACCAAACCUGUACAACUAGACUUCGUUCUGGACCAAGGACGAGUGAAUUAGACGGGGAAAAACAAACUAUUAUACCGCAUCAUAAUGCUUCUAAUGAUCAACCUAGGCAUAUGGUGACUCGUCAUUUUUCUAGUAUGGAACGAAACAAGAUAAAAAAUUAAGCAACGAGUCUAGCUACCAAUCUACCUGUACCACGAAAUCGAGGAAUUAAGAUUCUAAGGUUCAAAGACUUAAGAUCCAGACGUGGCCGUAGUACUCAAUUAGUCUACGCACAGUGGUCGAUAUCACUACUAUACCGGUAGUAAAAGGACAUCUCUCUCGUCGACUAUAAGUAUCAAAUUAAUGAAAAAGGAGGUUGAUUACACAACAGAAUAAAAGAGUGAAACCGACCAUGUCACUAUGGGUAGAUUAACAUCAGCUCCCCUAUACACUAUUGAACUUUGACUCGUGUCUUGCAAGAAAGAACCAAACGUAAACCACAUUGGGGGGAACUAACAAGAAAAAGGAAACAGAAUAUUAGGAGACUAAAAGUUAGGUCAGUAUAAAACUACUACCUAACUGGUAAUAAAUAGUCUUCAAAAGAUGUGUAACGACGACCUAUCUCGUAGAUAACGAUGAUGUUAACCACUAUAGAUGUGUCUAGAUAUGUAUUUUCUAUUAUCCUUCAUUCGAAGAUAUCACACCGCAUCUCCAUAACCGGUAUGUGGUACUUACUAUCUCCGACACGUCGACUAUAAGUAUCAAAUUAAUGAAAAAGGAGGUUUCUCUAUGUAUAAAAAUCGACAUUACACAAUGGAACGACUGUCAUGUAGCUAUAUAAGAGGUUAAACCAAGUUGAUACGGAUAUGAGAAAUCAAAAUACAACUACAAAUGAGAAAGAAGACCAGACCUCAGAACAUAAAAAAAGACUCCACACAUGAAGUGAAAAUACAACAUAUGUGUUCAUAAAAGUCUAUUUAUUUUCGUUCUUGUAAUCUCUCGUACGUCCCGGGACUUAAACCUCUUAGAUCCGGAUAUAGACAUGUUAUAACAACUCUUUUACGCCGUCAUUCCUGCUCGGUUGUUUCUCCUAGAGACGUUACUUUCUUAUGUUCCUAAAGUAGUUAACAGAUAAUCUUCUGGAUAAUUUUUCAUUGCUAAUAAAAACAUUUAGUUCCUACUUUUCUUCCGUUGACUACACGUUCCUGUACGUCCAUGAGUCGGUGGAUCACGCGUACCUACACUACUGAAGCAUCAGAAUACAUCGUAAACCAGCAAACAUCAUAAAGCCUGAUCGGUUGAACAUUAGUACUUAGAAUACACGCAAGACCUGGUAAACCGCGAAGUUCACAACACCUCAUCUUUAGAACACCGGUACCUAAACUGAAAAUUCAAAAAACCUGGUAAAGCACAAAGUUAAGAAAAUCUUAUUGUGUAUCACCAGGAAAAUACACUGAACACAAAGAACUACCACCAGUUCUACCGGUUUGAAACGAAACAGUUACAACAGAACAAAAAAUUGAACACUAGUUAUAUAUACAUACAAACACUUGUAUAAUAGUUACAAACGCUUGUAACCUCGUAACACAUUAUAAACUUGUACUCGUCAUAGGUUAACAACAAAACCGACAUGUGGUAGAAUGGUCGUUAAAUAAACAACCCUUAACAACAAAACCGACAUGUGGUAGAAUGGUCGUUAAAUAAACAACCCUUUUUGUAAGGUUGACUCUUUCAC
rnacentral:rRNA from 1 species